GGCCGGGUGGCGCAAUGGUAGCGCGCUGCCUUCCGGUGGCAGUGGUUGCGUGUUCGAGUCACGUCUCGGUCG